GUGUAGGUGUGUUAUUGUAC
rnacentral:siRNA from 1 species